UACUAAGCAUAAUAUGUAUUUGUGUGGACUUGGCAUUUAUACAUAUAUUUUUUUCCUCUAAUUUUGGUUAACUUAAUUGUGACUUGAUGGCUAAAAGAUUGAAAGUCUCAAUGUUUAUUUUUAAGCUUUUGAAUAUCACAAAUUGUAUUGCAGGGUCAGCAGACAGUACACUAAAAUUUUGGGAUUUAGAACCCUUUGAAAUGAAUGGAUCUACUAGACAAGAGGUUUCUCAUUUAUAGUGUCGUGUGAUUAAUGGUGUUAGCAAUAGCGAUUAUUGGUGGGUUUGGAUUCUGCAGUUUCUCUCUUUUAAAUGUUCUUAUUGUGCAUUAUUUUCUUUUUUCAAGUUCACCCCAUGAUGUACAAGCACACAUAUAGUGGAGGUCAUGGUUCUCUAUGAAUUUUGAAAUGGGCACGUUACCAGACAGCAAAGCUUCAAAGGCUUCUCCAUAGUGCAAUAUGAAGACAAGAUCCAUGGGUGUGAAGAAUUCCACUAAGAAAACUAUUAGAAGGAAUCACAAAUAAGUGGCAAAAAAGAAGGUGGAACUCUCGGAGUCCAGGAUCUGGCAUAUCUUCUUGCAACAGCCAACUUUAUGGGAUCUCCAAGCUCCCAUUUAGAUCUGUGGUACUCUAACUUCUUACAAUCCCUGAUUUUACUGCUUUCUUUAUUAAUAACAGGUGAAUAUAUACACUUUUGUGCAUCCCUUACUCUAUUGCUUUUUUUGUUGCAAUUCCUUUUGUUUCGGUCUUCUUCCUUUCUUUUUAGAGUUGGCAUUUGAUUGAUGGGUUAUUGCGUUUAUUUUUUAUUUUUAUUUUUUUAAUAGUGGUUUUAUAUUGUUUUAAUUUGAGAGUGACAUUACUAUUAUAUUUUUCAAUAUAUUUUUUAAGCAUAUUUUAAAAUCUUGAUUUUCAUUUCAUAUAACUUCUCUAUAAUCUUAUUUUACCAAUACAUUAUAGACUAAGAUUCUUAAUACCCCUCCUUUUGAAACUCCAUUUUUCUUUUGUUAUCUUUUUCUUAGGCGUUAGUAUGAGAUUGGGUUCUAUUUUGAUGUGAAGUAUUUCAAGCACAUCGCUUGAUAGUAAAUUUGAUGAUGUUGAUAAGUUCCUUUCUGCAUUCACAUGGAUUGAUGAGAAUGAACAUUAAACCUAUAUCUACAUUAAUUUGAAUAAACAAGUAACUGAGUAAGUUUCCAUAAGAUUCCUUAGUGGUGUCACUUUGUAUAUGUUCUAUUAUGUUGUCAUUAAUUAUUCAUUUUAAUUAUGCCUGUCUAAAUAUUUUAUAUCUGAUUUGGUUAGUAAGCAUGGUUCCAAGACUUUAAAUGUCCUCAUGAAGGAACCGUAGAUCAUUCUAGAUUAUCAAAGGGAAAAAAAGAAGAAAAAUUGCUUUCUUUAGUGUGCAUGCAAGAAAUCUUUUGAUAUCUCAUUCAUACAUAAGCAAGAUCCUACUUUUUAAGGAGGAAAAGAAAACAGAACGAAAAACAAAUAAAACACAGAAUUUGACCAUCUUUAGUUUCUUUUUCCUCACUUGAGAGCAGAUGCAUGAAACAGGACAUAGUUAAACUUAUUAAUAAAAUUAACAGAUCCUCCAUUACCAUUCAGUUUAUUAAUAAGAUUUGAAGAAUUACAAAUGGGGCCACUAUUUUAUCUGUGGGUGACUUCGUUCUGGUUUGUUUCCUUUUUAGAUUAAUGGUAUGUAUCAAUUGCUUUGCAACAUUAGUAUUUGAUAUUCUUCUUUCAGUGGUUAUGUUUUAGUUCGAUGAGGUGGAUUUGACUGGCACAAAGUUUGAAUAUUUAUGGUUUGGAGUGAAUAUUUAUGAUUUGUUGACAUGGUGAUUUGUCUCUUUAUCUUGAAAAAUUUAUAUGUUUGGCAAAUAUUUGCAUUUAAAUCUUCUUUACAAUUUUUCUUUCGAAAUCCUCUGUUCCUAUAGAAUUAAGAUAGUUCUUUCUUAGACUCUUUCAUUUAUGAGAAUCUAUUAUUCUACAUAAUGAGAGUUUAGAGAUUAACUAUUUUACAUUGCGUGCAUUGUGCAUCCUGUUUUCUAGAAAAAUAACUAUUUAUAUUUCUUAAAUGAUUUAGGGCUAUGAAGUUCUCAAAAAACUUGCUUAUGUGACUGAUAAAUUUGAUAGGAAAUUCCUUGAGCAAUUACGUGAGUAAGAAGAUUUAGUACUUCGUUGUACUUAAUAUUCUAUGCUCUUUUUUUUUCCUUUGUACUUAGUGUUCAAUGCUUUUUUUUUUCAUUUUCGUUGAUGUGCCUUCUCCUGCUUAGUUACUUUUCAAAGAGUUGGAUACUUAUUUGUCUAUAUAUUAUGACUUAAUUUUUUCUUUUUGAGGGAUAUAAGUUUGCUUUAAAAUAUUGGGUUGCCAUUGUUUAAUUGAGUUCUUUGUUUAUUACAGAGAAUUCUGCACCACAAUUCCUAAUGAUUUUAGAUUCAGAAAAAUUAAGCUCUCUCUCCCAUAUGUUUUUUUAUCCACUUAGUCAUUUAUCAAUUUAUUCUAUGGUUGAAAUCAUAAUUGUGAAUUUCUGACACCUGAUAGUGGAUUUUGUACACUUUAUUCUCCAAUUGGUUUCCUUUUAUAUUAAUGGUAUGUAUCAAUUGCUUCGCAAUAUUAGUGUUUGAUAUUCUUCUUUCACUUGUUAUGUUUUAGUUGGAUGAGGUGGAUCUGGCUGGUGCAAAGUUUGAAUAUUUAUGGUUUGGAGUGAGUAUUUAUUUUUUUUAAAAAAAAUCAUGAAGCUUUUUAUCUUUUGCUGCUUUAGCUUUCAUUAUUGUAUAUUCAUGCUCUAACUACACAAGCUAUAUCUUUUCCAGCUAAUUUUUUGUCGAGAUAGUAAAUUGUCUCUUAUCUUGAAAAAUUUAUGUUUGGCAAAUAUAUGCAUUUAAACCAUUUUUUCAAUUUUUCUUUUGAAAGCCUCUAUUCCUAUAGAAUUAAGAUAAUUCUUUUUUAGACUCUUCUAUUUAUGUGAACCUAUUAUUCUACGUAAUAAGAGUUUAGAGAUCAACCAUUUUACAUUCCGUGUAAUGUGCAUCAUGUUCUCUAAAAAAAUAGCUAUUCAUAUUUCUUAAAUGACUGAGUUAUGAAGUUUUUAAAAAACUUGGUUAUGUGAUAUAUAAUAUUCUGUGCUCUUUUAAAUGUAUAUAAUUGUAUUUUUUUAUUAUCAUUAUUAUUUUGACUGCUGCUCUAUUAAUGUAUAUUUAUAAUUUUACAUGACUUUUGUGGUAUUAUGUAGUAUAUGAAGUUGGUGACAGUGCCAUUGCAAUGUUAGGUGAUCUUAAUAGUAGGAAAUGGCUUUUCCUCUCUGAUGUGUGUUAUUAUCUAUGAGACGAUGACUAUUAACAAGCUUUAGGGGUCAAACAUAUGAGUCUAUAUUUGUCGAAGCAUGUUUUUAGACACAGACAACUUUAUGUUACUCUUUCAAAAAUAAAAUUUAAAAUCAAGAUUAAGGGUAUUAGUUUAGAAUAAUC